rnacentral:rRNA from 1 species
AAUAUUGCGCAAUGGAGGGAACUCUGACGCAGCGACGCCGCGUGAGCGAUGAAGGUCUUCGGAUCGUAAAGCUCUGUCCUUGGGGAAGAAGGUCUUCGGACUUGACGGUACCUAAGGUGGAAGCGCCGGCUAACUACGUGCCAGCAGCCGCGGUAAUACGUAGGGGGCAAGCGUUGUCCGGAAUUAUUGGGCGUAAAGGGUGCGUAGGCGGCCUUUUAAGUCAGAUGUGAAAGCCCGCGGCUUAACCGUGGGACUGCAUUUGAAACUGUGUAGCUUGAGUGCAGGAGAGGAAAGUGGAAUUCCUAGUGUAGCGGUGAAAUGCGUAGAGAUUAGGAGGAACACCAGUGGCGAAGGCGACUACCUGGACUGAUACUGACACUGAGGUGCGAAAGCGUGGGGAGCAAACA